rnacentral:rRNA from 1 species
UACAGAGGGGGCAAGCGUUGUUCGGAAUUACUGGGCGUAAAGCGUGCGCAGGCGGUUUUUCAAGUCAGAUGUGAAAUCCCCGGGCUCAACCUGGGAACUGCAUUUGUGACUGCAUGGCUAGAGUACGGUAGAGGGGGAUGGAAUUCCGCGUGUAGCAGUGAAAUGCGUAGAUAUGCGGAGGAACACCGAUGGCGAAGGCAAUCCCCUGGACCUGUACUGACGCUCAUGCACGAAAGCGUGGGGAGCAAACAGG